rnacentral:rRNA from 1 species
CCUACGGGUGGCAGCAGUGAGGAAUAUUGGUCAAUGGGCGCGAGCCUGAACCAGCCAAGUAGCGUGAAGGAUGACUGCCCUACGGGUUGUAAACUUCUUUUAUAAAGGAAUAAAGUGAGGCACGUGUGCCUUUUUGUAUGUACUUUAUGAAUAAGGAUCGGCUAACUCCGUGCCAGCAGCCGCGGUAAUACGGAGGAUCCGAGCGUUAUCCGGAUUUAUUGGGUUUAAAGGGAGCGUAGAUGGGUUGGUAAGUCAGUUGUGAAAGUUUGGGGCUCAACCGUAAAAUUGCAAUUGAUACUGGCAGCCCAGAGUACAGGUGAGGUAGGCGGAAUUCGUGGUGUAGCGGUGAAAUGCUUAGAUAUCACGAAGAACUCCGAUUGCGAAGGCAGCUUACUAAACUGCCACUGACAUUGAGGCUCGAAAGUGUGGGUAUCAAACAGGAUUAGAUACCCGAGUAGUC